GAGAGCUGGCCUGAAGCCUGUGAAAGGCUCAAAGAAACAUAAGGAUCGAGUAGCGAAAUAAGGGAUACGGGGAUCCAAUCAAUGAUAAACAUUGGAAGAACGGUGGGAUCAGAAGAAUAGGAGGCUGAGAGAAUAGUUAUGCAUAGGCGCCGAAACCGAGGGAUGCAAGGGAUAAUCCAACUGGGUUAAAUCGUGCCUAUCGAUUAAACCGCCUGUCAAAACUGCGCUGGGUAUAG